rnacentral:rRNA from 1 species
AGGAUAAACGCUGGCGGCGUGCAUUAGACAUGCAAGUCGAACGGACUUUUCAGGGCUUGCUCUGAAAAGUUAGUGGCGGACGGCUGAGUAACGCGUAGGUGACCUACCCCGAAGUGGGGAAUAACUGCCCGAAAGGGUGGCUAAUACCGCAUGUGAUCGUUUGUUCAUUCGAACGAUCAAAGCAGCAAUGCGCUUCGGGAGGGGCCUGCGUCCGAUUAGCUCGUUGGUGGGGUAAUGGCUCACCAAGGCGACGAUCGGUAGGUGGUCUGAGAGGACGAUCACCCAGACUGGGACUGAGACACGGCCCAGACUCCUACGGGAGGCAGCAGUCGGGAAUUUUUGCUCAAUGGGCGCAAGCCUGAAGCAGCAACGCCGCGUGAGGGAUGAAGGCCUUCGGGUUGUAAACCUCUUUUAUCAGGGAAGAUUAUGACGGUACCUGAUGAAUAAGCCACGGCUAACUACGUGCCAGCAGCCGC